rnacentral:rRNA from 1 species
UACAGAGGUCCCAAGCGUUGUUCGGAUUCACUGGGCGUAAAGGGUGCGCAGGUGGGUUUGCAAGUUCGAUGUGAAAGCCCCGGGCUUAACCCGGGAAUGGCAUUGGAUACUGCAGAUCUGGAGGAUCGGAGGGGGGACUGGAAUUCUUGGUGUAGCAGUGAAAUGCGUAGAUAUGCGGAGGAACACCGAUGGCGAAGGCAAUCCCCUGGGCCUGCACUGACGCUCAUGCACGAAAGCGUGGGGAGCAAACAGG